UUCUGAAUCUCUAACAUAAUUUAAAAACGGGAGACUACAUAAUUUAGAGGACAGCAGGUGGAUGAAUCCUCUUCAAAAUGGAUACCGUUAACAGGCUCAGCAGCUCGAUUGUUGUGUGUGUGUGUGUGUGUGUGUGUGUGUGUGUGAGAGGUUACCCACCAGCCGCUACUGCAAACACUGACAUUAUACCGCUAUGGAUCAACCAACAGCCGGGACCAGACCCUGCAGCUGUGGAGGGGAACUCUACAGAGGAAAGACAUGAUGUCAGGAACUGACAGACACAAGGAUAUUGACUUUAUGCUUGAGGAAAAGGAACAUAAAAGGAUAGGGUGUUAGAAUAACAAACAAAAAAGACUGUGGCCAUGUCCUUACUUCUGUACUUUGCCGGAUCUGGUCCAGAAACAUCUGAGGCCGUUCAGACAGGGCCCCCUGCAGGACAGAAACGGCAGAGGGAUUAGGGCAGGCACUCUUAUUACUCUCACACAGGAGUGAUGGUUGUAAGGGCCUCAGCCUGAGCUCUCUGGACUUUCUCCUCACUCACUAUGAGCAUCCAUGCUGUCCUGAGGACAGGCAGGUGUCUACAGCUGAGCACGUGUCUCUAUAUAAGGAUCAUGCACCUUUUUCUCCAGAACAGCAUAGCCUGCAUCCGCACUGGCAGACUCUCGACGGUCGUCUAGGCGACUGUGGCCGGGUGCCCUGGUGAAACCAGGAGGCAAAGUUGUAGAGCCGACGGCGGGGGAGGAGGACACAGAACGCAUGUUCUCCUUGUGUCGGUUGAGACUCUUAGCCCAGCGCUCCAUAUCUUUGGCAAUCUAUCAACACGUACACCAAGAAAUACGAGUUACUCAGUUAAACUGAUUCAAACAGAGGAAAAUUUACAAUUUGUGAAUACAAUACCAUUAACACCUUCACAAUAAAAUGCAAUGCAAACAACCAGAGCCGUGCAAUAAAUACCACCUCUGUCAUUAUUUGUUGAGAAUAUGUCAUUGGUGUAAAAUAACAUAAUUUUGGUUGCAAGUGUGUUAACGUGUAAACAAAAACACAAAGGAAAGCAAAACAAAAACCCAAACAGACGUGUGCAUUCUCUAUAUUAUUGUAAAGUGUCAAUUUGACUCUGUUAAGUGCCUUGUGAUGAAAUUAAUUAAAUAAAAUUCAUUGGUCAGUUUCA